AUUGAACGCUGGCGGCAGGCCUAACACAUGCAAGUCGAGCGGAGCGGCGGACGGGUGAGUAAUGCCUGGGAAUCUGCCUGGUAGUGGGGGAUAACGUCCGGAAACGGGCGCUAAUACCGCAUACUAUCAGAUGAGUCUAGGUCGAAUUAACUAGUUGGUGGGGUAAAGGCCUACCAAGGCGACGAUCCGUACCUGGUCUGAGAGGAUGAUCAGUCAGACUGGAACGGAGACACGGUCCAGAAGCCUACGGGAGGCAGCAGUGGGGAAUAUUGGACAAUGGGCGAAAGCCUGAUCAAGCCAUGCAGCGUGUGUGAAGAAGGUCUUCGGAUUGUAAAGCACUUUAAGUUGGGAGGCGUGACCAACAGAAUAAGCACCGGCUAACUUCGUGCCAGCCGCCGCGGUAAUUC
rnacentral:rRNA from 1 species